rnacentral:rRNA from 1 species
UACAGGGGGCGCGAGCGUUGCUCGGAAUCACUGGGCGUAAAGCGUACACAGGCGGGUCGAUAAGUUCGUUGUGAAAUCCCGGGGCUCAACCCCGGAACUGCGAUGAAGACUGUCGAUCUUGAGUACGGGAGAGGGAUGUAGAAUUCCAGGUGUAGCGGUGAAAUGCGUAGAUAUCUGGAGGAAUACCGGUGGCGAAGGCGGCAUCCUGGACCAUUACUGACGCUGAGGCGCGAAAGCUAGGGGAGCAAACGGG